GGGGGAGGCCUUUCUUUUCUUUUCAUUGUUGGAACCCUAUUCCUGGAUAUAUAUAAUCUUCCUUUUCUUCCCGAAUGGAGGGGUUUUUUUUUUCUUUGGAAAUCAAAAUUAGGGGCUCCGAAAAUUUUUAGCAUUUCGAUAUAAGAGUAGAAUCCUUUCUUGGUUGAAGAACACAUAAAGAUUUAUCAUCUUAAAACACGCCUAAGACGCCUUUCUCUACACUAUUCGCGGCUCGCGGUUCAUUGGGAUUCGUGGAGUCACGAUUGAGAUACCUAUAGUUGGUGGAAUCGCUCUCUUGUUUGAGUUUUCAGUUCGCCGCACCGAGAAAAGGUCAUUUUGAAUCGAUGUUUGAACUUUCGUGAUGAAUGUGUUGGUUCGAACUCAGUUCCAGCCAUGCUUAUUUGUCGUUUAAUUCGAUUCUGUUGGCUACAUUUUUGGUAUUUGAUGUUUAGAGACUAAAGGAACAUGAAACAUCUCUGUAAAUGUGUGUAAAUUUAGUUUGUUUGAGAUCAUUCUUCAUUUUGAUAUGAACUUUGUUGGACUCGGGGUUAUCUCUGUCUCUUUUUUUUAGUCGAAAGUGGCGUAUUGUUUGUAAUCAACUCUUCCGUUCCUGUGGUAUAAAUGAAAUCCACUUUUGCUUGUUAAGAAAUCCAUUUUCACUUGUUGAGAAAGCCGUCAUUCAAGCUACUCGAUUUUUGUGUUGAAGAAAUGGAUUUAUUAGCAUUAAUCUGCAUGGUUUGUUUGCUUCUGUUUUUCUAAUUUAUUUAUUUUUUUAGUUUAUUUUCUUUUUUUUUUCUUUUUUUCUUUCACUUUGGUUUGAUUUAUUAUUGAAAUAUAGUAUUAAACUGCAUCGUUUAGUUAUUAUGCAAAAGGAAUUUGUCAGCCUCAUUCUACUUAAAAUGCACCCUGUUAUGGGUUUUCUUGCCUAUGAAAUUAUGUUUGUCAAUGAGUCUAUUGCUGGUCCUCUUCUUCAGCUCCUUAGUGGUUAAUAUUGAUGCUCUUUUGUUCAUUUAUUAAGUUAGGAAGACUGGUAAAGUGAAUAUGUCUAUCCCGACUUCAACGAUUACUUUGCUUUGGCUUUCUCUUUCUUUGAAAAUACGGCAGGCAUACUACGUCAAGAGGUCCUUAUGUUUGAAAAUGUAUGAUGCAUGUGUGUUAUCUGCAUGAGUUAGUUACUAGAUUGUCUGCAGGUGAAAACUAUACUUCCUCUUUAAUGCUUUCCAUUGUUGUUAAUUGUUAUAUUGUGUGUGGGUGAAGAUUACUUUCCGUUCUUAACAUCCAUUUUUGUUUUAUUGCGUGUGUUUCGAGUCCCCAUGGACUUCACUCUAAUCCCUUGCACUUUCUCGUGAGCCAUAAAGGCUCAAAACAUCUUUCUCGAGUCGUAGACCCCCUAAAAACUGGUGUACAGGUCGAAACACAGCAAAUGUGUUGCUGGGAAUUAUAUUUGCAGGUGUUGAGGAAGCUGUAUACCAGUUGUAUAAUGUUUUAUACACCAAUAUACAGGUCAAAAAAUGCACAUGGGACCAAAUUCGAAAUGAAGGUCAAUAACAGUGAAAAUAUACUGCUGUAAAAGACUUUCAGCUUUCGAAGGUUGAAGAGCAAGUCGAUAUACCAUCUGUAUACACUGAUAUACAGAUGUGUUAUACCACAGAUGAGUGUAAAACGUGAGAACGCAGAUUUAACAUACAGGGAUUUUGAAUUCAAGUAAAAUGCAGGAACAAUGAAUAAAUACAUACAUAAAAUAUAGCCCGUAUACACUGGUAUAGACAAUUUAUACAGCGAUACAGUAGUAAAAACAGUAUAAAAACAGUACAGGUACGAAUACGUCGAAGUAAUCUGGAAUACAGGUGGAAGUGCGAGAAUGCGUAAUCCAAACAAAAUACAGGUUUCAAAAGUCCCAAAACGGACCGGAUAUAUAUCAUAUACAGCAGUAUACAUCAAAUGUAUACCCCAAUUUUCUUUUUCAGUGCAUAUUUUAAUUGAAUAGGCCCAAAGGCCACAAAUCUUUCUUA